rnacentral:lncRNA from 1 species
CAAAGUGUAAUGUGGUCACUGUGAUAAUUCUGAAACACAAUACUAGCGUCUUAACUUCUCUCUUGGCUUUUGCAGCAUCAGAGAUCCAAAAUGAUUCAGUAUGACAAAUGCUUAUUGAAGGCAAUGUCGAACCACUGUGUUGAGUCUCUAAUUGUCCUCAGGAGAGAAAGCACGCAGACAUGUACAGAAUGCUGGGCAGGUCUCAGGCUUCCGUUCUAAUGACGCAGGAAAGGAGAGCCAAUAGAGUUGGGUCCAUUAUGUAACCACCUUGGGCUUAAUCUCUUUGUCAAAAGAGUCCUAGGAUCCCUCAGGCUGCAGACUUAUCAAUUGUAGAAUGUCUCCCUUCUGGAGGGAAAUAUGUCACAUGAGCUCCAUCACCUGUAAUUCUGUCUUCACAUUUGCUGUUUCAUCUUACAAGAGAGCCGUGAUCCCUCACUAGUAGGCCUCCACCUACUGAUAGCCAGAAGCAUGAGGGGCGGAGGAGGGAACUGCAGGGUUGGAGGAGGAAGGCCUGUCUGUGUUCCAGGGCAACUGACGCAUCUCCUCAGAAAAUAAAAAUGUUUUUCCAAGAGCUCUCUGAUGGCACUGGCCAGAAUGAGGUUAUAGACCUCGGCUACGAGGAGGUUGACAUUUUUCAGCUCCUGUGAUAAAGUGUAAGAAAGAAGGGGCAAAGACUGAGUUGGGGUCAGCCAGCCAACAGGCUUCCUUAUUGGCCAUGGCCUCGCAGGAUGUAACCAAGGAAGGGUGGUUAAUGAGUUAACUCCUGGGUCAGCGCCAGACUUAAAGACAGCACUGGAUAACUGUUGGCUGUUAUUCUAUAGGAAGCUAUUCUUCACACCUGAUUUGGCUCUACCGCAGUAGUUAUCACCUUUGUGUGUGUGUGUGUGUGUGUGUGUGUGUGUGUGUGUGAGUGUGUGUGUGUGUGUGUGUAUGUGUAUGUGUGUGUGUUCAGAGCCUUUAACAACUGACGUCUGAGGGCAGGCUGUCUUUUCAGGCUAACAGUAGCACAUUGCUCUCUCAAGUGAGCCUUGCUUGUCCUAGCUUUAAUGUAUGGCCUAGGAGUGCUUAGACCUUAAACUGUCAGAGAAAAGCGGGUAAUAGGGUAUAUUAUUAGUUACUUAUUUUGCUGCUACAUCAAAAUACCCAGCAAAAGAGAUUUAAAGAAGGAAGGAAAGAAGUAAAAAGGGAAAAUUUUUAGGGUUUUGUUGUUGUUGUUGUUUGUUUGUUUGUUUUGUUUUGGUUGUUUUGUCCAAGGGAUACUGUCCAUUACACAUCCUGGUAGGGAGAGAAUGAGGGUAAGAAGAGGAAGUGGCUGAUAUCCUACCUCUGCAGGCGGGAAGCAGAGAGCGAUGAACAGCAGUGCUUGCCCAACUCUUUACAUUUUCUCCAUCUAUGACAUCAGCUCACAGUCUACAUAAUCCAGCAGACUCACGGCCAGAUGCUUGUCCCCUAGGUGUUUACAGGUUCUGUCUCAAUGACGAUCAGCACUAACCAUCACAGUGAGGAAGGAAAGCAGAGAUUGUCCUGGACAAGGUGCUUAGCUUGCUCCCCCCUCUCCUUCACAUCAUAAUGACAGGCUCUUCCUUUUAUGUGGGUUCCCCUGCCUUUGAGGUAUCUCAGCCUCUCUUUGCACUUUGUGUCAGAGUGGGGUGCAAGACUCUACAGAGGCUACCACGGGACUUCUGGCCUAUCAGAGAACGCCAGACCUUAGUGUCACUGUUGGAACGGUAGAUUCUGAAGAUAUCCAGAAGCUAAGAGGAACACAGAGAGGGGACAAGGAGUCAGAUACCAUGAAGUAAACAGGUAAGUUUAUGGAGGAGGCAGUAGAACCUGAACAUUGGUGGAAUGAGCAUCCUGGAUGGAGCUGCCAUACUUAGGUAGUGGUUAUUUUUCUCCUGUGUCUUGGGCAUCCUCCCAAUGCCCUGCUGGGCUACCAUCUUCUUUCCUCCUCCCGUAUCUCUGUAAGUGCCCCAUUCUGGGAGGGAAUGGCAUACAAAUACUUCUCUCUGGUCCUCAGUAACUAUGGAGCUUGACUCAAAGAAAAGAAGAGCAUUUCAGCCUAACAGUGAGCUCUUCUGUUCCUAAUUAGAGUAAGAGAGGGAGGCUGACAAAGAACAGUCCCCGCAGCUCUCGCCCACCCGAGCUGUGCCUCAGGAAUGGCCACCCUCAUGGCUAGCUGAAGAAACUGCUCUUUUAAGACAAGAUAUUAUUCUGUCCUGUGCACAAUACCCCAGUACCUGGUGCCAGGACUCCCUGCUUCCACUGCUUGCUGGCCAGAGAACCUUGGUCUGUUCUACCAUCAGAUAGCGGCUUCCCUAACAUAAUAUUCCCUAAUUGUUAGCAAAAUUGAGUUAUUUGGUUGAUUCCUUUCUAUGACACUUUCUCUGUACCCUCUGGCCUGUGCUGCUCUGUCUUGUGGCUUUAAGUAUUCAUGAAGCUUUGUGUCUUUGGCUACUGGUCCCCCAGGUGUCCCCAAUGUGUAUUCAUAAGUAGUACCCUAUUUGCCACAUGCAGAUCUCCAUCGAGUUAAAAAAUCCACUGUUGGUGGAUUGCGAUCAGGAGAGGUCCCCCAUCUUGUAGUUUCUUACACACUUAGUUUGUAUGUGCUUUCUUUUCGCAGCCCCACCCCACCCUUUUCUCCAGUUAGAAGUGGCUGUAUUUGUUCGGUUGGAAUGAUCUCUUGGUGUCUGGCAGCUUGAACACAAGUCAACACAGUUGGAAAAGCCAGUUUUCCUAGCUUCUUGGCACAGCUGAUUUCCCGGUAUGGAUUGGCCCUUGGUGUGUCUUUGUGGUGGCAUGGCAAUCAUUAGGAAGGAGUGCUAUCCAGCUGUGAUUGCCCACCAUGAACUAGAGGAGAAGAUCUGGAAUUUCAAACAUGGUGGGCUAAACCGUGGGCAUGUAAAACAUGGUUGCUGAGCUGAAAUCCCUCGUCCUGCCAGGACUACGUGUCUACACUCUAAAACAUGGCAGAGCUGGGUGUUUCUGGAUAGUGGUUGAAGUCCUAAAGCUGAGGACAGAAGACAGAGCAUGUUUCCAUGUCCUAGUGCAUGGAUUCCCAUCUGGCAGAGGCUAAGCAGACCUUUACCAUCCCACGAAGAUUCCUGGAAAGAGGAAGUCACAGAGUGAUGCGCUGAGGACUGUAGGACACAGCACUGUGGCAUUUGCUCUCUCUUUCCCAUGGCAUCCAGAAUUUAUCAAAACUGAACUCAGCUUCUGUCUCCACCUACCUUCUCUGCCUCUCUGGAAUUCCUUUAGCAUGUUCUUCUCCACGAAGCAAGGAACCUAUAGAAUUAAGGUACAUGUCUGUUGUGGAUUUGAUCUAAUGCUACUUAUGUUAA